rnacentral:sRNA from 1 species
GGAGCAAAAAGGGGCGCCCCAAGUAGGAGGGAUCCUACUUGGGCGCCUUCUCCAAGUCGGCAUCCCCCUCGUCCAUAUGCAUCGGAGGGGAAAGGAAUGAGAGGGGGUAGGGGAAGGAAAGGGGGAGGCCGAAUCCUCCCCUUUCCUU